GCGGCCGCCCAAGCCCGGCUCCCACGUCCCGCUCUCGGCUCCCCGGAGGUCGGGGACUUUGAGGUAUCUCCACGUCAAACCUUCAUGAGGCGACACCGCAAGUAGCUGCUGAGGACGUAGCGGAUCCUCUCCAUCUCCAUUUGGUGGAUGCUGACCUUCAGGUCCUCCCUUUUGGCUCUCCUGAGAUUUUCUUCCUAUUAAAUGAGAAAUUAAGGUUUAUAAAAAACAUGAUGUUCAACCAUCAUCACCGGCAACGUUGAGGACCCAGACUAUGUUUCAGUACAAGGAAAACAAAAAUAUCAUGUUUUAUGCUUGAAAUGGCUACAUCUGGUUUCUGGUCACACAGUGGCAUGAUAAUGGCUCACUGCAUUCUUGACCUCCAAGGCUUAAGUGAUCCUCCUGCCUCAGCCCCCAGAGUAGCUGGGACUAAAGGUACAUACCACAAAGCCUGGCUAAUUUUUAAAUUUUUUAAAUAAAGAUGGGGUUUUACCAUGUUGCCUACGGUGGUCUUCGAAAUCCUGGCCUCAAGACAUCCCCCUGCAUUAGCCUCCAGAAGUG
rnacentral:antisense_RNA from 1 species